ACACAUAUACAGACAUGAAUGCAUACGUACUGGUUGUAUAACAAGUAGUAAUCCUAACGCUAUAUAAUAUUGUCUUGUCGAUAUUUGUGUUAAUAUUUUUAAAUUAUAAUUUAAUUUAAAAAAUUAUCAAAAAAAUAUACUUUUAAAUUAUAUUUUCAUUAACUCUCAUCUUCUAUACGUAUGAAUUCUUGAUGUAUCAACACUCCACCCCAUCCCCAUAGAAAAAUGUCAUUUCUUUCCAAAACAAAAAAGCUCUAAAAGAGCAUAUGCAACAACACUUUGCAGAACCUAUCAAGCCAAAUUACCCUCCCAAAAUAUGCAUUUCUUCAACUUCUUCUCCCUUUUCCUUUUUGUGUCUUCCCUCUUUUUGUUAAUUAAAUGGAAGAAUUCCAAUAGCAAAACCAAAAAAUUACCUCCUGGUCCAUGGAAAUUACCUUUAAUUGGAAGCAUGUUUCAUUUGCUAGGUGGACUUCCACAUCAUGUCCUAAGAGAUUUAGCAAAAAAAUAUGGACCAAUUAUGCACCUUCAACUAGGUGAAGUUUCUCUAGUUGUUGUCACUUCUCCUGACAUGGCCAAACAAGUAUUAAAAACUCAUGACCUCGCUUUUGCAUCUAGGCCCAAGCUUCUAGCUGCCGAGAUUCUCUUUUAUAACGGAACUGAUAUUGUCUUUUCCCCCUAUGGAGAUUACUGGAGACAAAUGCGUAAAAUAUGUCUAUUGGAAUUGCUUAGCGCAAAAAAUGUUAAAUCAUUCAAUUCUAUUAGACAAGAUGAAGUUCUUCGUAUGAUUGAUUUUUUUCGAUCAUCUAUUGGUGAGACAGUUAAUGCAACAAAAAAGUUUUACCAAUUCUCAAGCUCUAUGACCUGUAGAGCAGCCUUUGGGAAAGUAUUAAAAGAGCAAGACGAACUUAUACUACUCGUUAAAAAAGCAUCACAUUUAAUGGAAGGAUUUGAUGUGGCUGAUAUAUUUCCAUCACUAAAAUUUUUUCAUUUGUUAUGUGGAAUGAAGGGUAAAAUUAUGGAUGCUCACCAUGAGUUAGAUGCCAUUCUUGAAAACAUCAUCAAUGAGCACAAGAACAAUGGUGAAUUAGGAGGUGAAGGUUUAGUUGCCACAUUGCUAAGACUAAUGAAAGAGGGAGGUUUUCAAUUUCCAAUCACCAACGACAAUAUCAAAGCUAUUAUUUUUAUAAGUACAUUUUCCUUCUUGGGAAAACUGGUGCCUCUUUCUUCUAUUUUCUCUCUAAGCUUGGAUGAUUUUUGGUGAAUAAAGGUUUUGGUUAGGUUCUGACUAGAUUAUUAGAUUUAAACUGAGUUAAACGACGUAAUUUAGCUGCCCAAUGCAUAGGGAAAAGACCAAAACAACCCUGACUUAAAAGCUGACGAGGCCAUCAACGGACCCUGACCGACAGGCCGUGGACUAAUGACGGUCCGUCCUGCUAGGGCGUCGGGAUGGAUUUGAGGGUCACGAUCUACGAACACUGGACCACUGACCGUGGACCCAGCUACGGUUCGUAGGUCCUGCCGUAGGUCAUGCUUUUCUGGGAAAUUCUAGGUGGCCAACUUAUGGACCCUACCUACAGUCCGUGGUCCCAUCCACAUGUCGUGGUUUGGCCUCCGUCGGUGGCACCUUUAACUCUGAAAAUCUGCUAUUUGGUCUUUCCCGAAUUUGGGGUGUUACAAAUGUGAGGUUUGCCAUAGUGAUGGAUUUGUUCAUCCUACGCAAAACAUGUAAUUCUUUCAUUAAUUCGUCCCUGAAAUCAUUUAUGUAAAUAUUCUUCAAGAGUUCUUGAGUUUUAGCCUCAUUCUUUAACAAUGGAGGUUUUGAGUUCUUGAGGUGAGAGUCUUGCGAAUGAGAUGAGUUCUUGAUAGAAAUUGAGUGGACUUUUGAUAAUUUCAUGUUGGGGUUGUGAAUCAAAGAGAGUUUGGAAGAAACCAAUCGAUUCUAGAUGAGUUAAGACCCGAAAUUGAGCAAGAAAAUUCAUUAGAUUUUUGGGUUCGGGUGGGGCAAUGCGCCACCAAGGCGCCAGGAGGCUCCCCAAAAGCUACUUUGAGGCAUGGCCCCUGCGCCAAUAAUGCGCCAGGGUCGUCAGGCAUAUUUCUUUUCCAUUCUUCAUUCCGUGUGUGUUCUUUCAAAUUGUGUCUUCGCUCUGUUCUUGAUAUGUAAUCUUAAAGUCUUCAUUAAUCCUUGAGAGAUCCUUCAUAUCCUAAUCACAUCUCUUAAUUUACAUUUCAAAUUAAAGUAAAAUUAAGAGGGAAGUUUAAGAGGCCCUUUUGAGUCAAUUUUGAGAACUUUUUUGCAAUUAACUAUAGUUAUGAACUAAAUCUUAAGUAAAUGAGUAUGAGAAUGAGAGGAGUUGUAUAUCAUGUUUCAAAAUGAGUUUAAGGGAACUAAGUAUUCCCAAGUGUAACACUUUUGCAUUUUAAUGAAAGAAACAUCGAUUUCUAAAUGAGUUAUGAGUUCAGAGAUGUUUUCAGAGUACUACCUCUUUUAAGAGGAUCUUUUGAGUAAUUACCUCAAAUUGCGAAAUAGUUAUGUUUUAUACAUUUGAGUAUGAGAUUAUAUUGUUGGGAGUACUAUUGAGCACCGAUAUGGGGAUGAGUUCAGAUAACUCACUUUCCUCAUAAACCAUGUAGCCAACAUAGGUAAAGGAUCGUACCUUUUUAGACGACUCAUUAUUGCUUUUAAGCAUAGCUUAAUAGAUCCACUUAGUUGAGGUGUUCUACACCCUGACAAGGUAUAGGACAGUUUUGGCAGCAUAGGCGUGACGUUGUAUCAUCACAUAGCUCAUAGUGAUGGUUGUCGGUUAGAAAAUCUCCCAAAUAAGAGUAAAGAGUAUGUUAUGGUAUUUUUUUUAUACAUCAUUGAGUUUUAUCUCCUGUUUUUUAAUGUUUCAAAUAUUACAUCUAUCAUUGUUGCUUUGUAUUGAGUUGAGUAGAGGUGAGUAUUUCUUCCAGCCUUGUCAGUUCAAUUAAUCAUUGCUUUCAGUUUUUCAUUUACAUGCUCGUACAUUCAAUGUACUGACGUCUUUCGACUUGCAUCUUUUUAUGAUGCAGAUACAGGUGUUCAUGGUCAUCAACAGGCACUCCGUUGAUAGCAUUUGCAUUUCAAUUAGCUUUGGUGAGCCUCCUUACUUUCCGAAGAGUUCCACAUUUAUAUUUCAACUUUGUUAAGAUGUCGCGGGUCUUGUCCCGUCAUCUAUCGUAGUAUUUAGAGGCUUCAUAGACAGUAGUAGUUGAGAAGUCUUUCACUAUUUUCCUUAUAAUGUUUUGAGACUUUGAGUUGUUUUCAUAUGUUUAUUUAAGUUGUUUUGAGAUAUUAUCAGUUAAAGUUUGGUAAUUGGAGUCUUCAUUUUACUUGAGUAAGUCUUCCACUAAGUAGUCAGUCAGAUCAAGGGUUAACUUGGGGACCAAUGAUGGUGCUCGUGUGCUGGCCAUGUCCAAGGUGUAGGCUCGGGGCAUGACAAUGCAUUCAUGUUUGUAUAUGUGUAUGACUGCUACUACUGAAUGUAUAAUAUGUUUUGAAUAAAAAAAUGUUGGUAUAUGUUGAAAGCUCAAUAAUAGUAUAAUAAUAUCAUCAUAUUGUUUUUUUUCUUUUUCAUAAAACAUAAAUAUGUCCUUAGCUUUAACUUGACCUCAUCUCGUAUUUAUAUCUUUUAAUUUUGGAUAUACACAAGUAGGCAUUUAAAAAUAUAAAGUUGAAUAAGUAGACACUUACAUCCUACGUGACAUAAUACUCACCACAUAGGAUAUCAUGUAGGACACGAAGUGUCACAUAAAACGCCAAGUGAGACGUGUAUGUCUACUUGUUCAACUCUACAUAAGUUUAAGUAUUUACUUGUGUACACCCAAAAUUAGAGGCAUAAAUAUCAUAUAAUAUAAAAUUAAAAAGGCAUAAUAUAUAAAUGUGCCCUUUAACUUGACCGCAUUUCACAAUUAUGCCAAGUAAACAUUUAAACUUGAAUAAAAUUGAACAACUAAACAUAUGAGUCAUAUGUGACAUAAUAUACGUAGGAUAUCAUAUAGGAUGCAAAUUGUUAUGUAGGAUGCCAUGUAGGAAGUGUGUAUCUAUUUGUUCAACUUUAUACAAGUUUAAAUAUCUAUUUAUGCACAUCCGAAAAUAAAAGACGUAAAAUGUAAGUUGAGGCCAAAUUAAAAAAUAUAUCUAUAUAUCAUGAUAUGCCAAUUAAAACACGUUUAUAUAUUAGGCAUGCCACCCAUUCCACCACACAUGUCAUAAUCAUAUUAAUAUUAUUGGGAUUAAUUAUUAUAGGCAACCCCUCCCCUACUUUCCCCAAUGCUCCUACUUUCCUCCACUCAAUUUAUUGUCACUAUUCAUGUCUAGUCCACAUCUUUGAUUUUGUUGACCUUUCUCAUAAAGAUUAGUGGCUAUAGGCGUGGUAAAAUUAGGAGUAGUUUGGUAUGAGGUAUAAAGUAAAAUAGUUUUAGAGAUAAAAUGUAGAAUUGUUUUAUUCUGCGUUUGGUUGGAGGUAUCAAACAAUCCUGAGAUUAUUUAUUCCACUAUUUAAUUAUACCUUAGUGAUGAGAUAAGUUAUCACAUGUAUAUACAUGGUGGAAUCACUUAUCUCAGGAUAACUUGUUCCCAACCAAACGAUUCAUUAAGUUUUAGCUUAAUGUUGUUUGAUGGCUACUAAUUAUUGUUGAAUUUUUAGAUUAUUAAAUUUUGGAAAGGAUGAAGUAGAGUUUUGGAAAAUAUUUUCCUUAAUUUUUGAAGGGAAGUCAUUUUCCUUAAAUUUGAGGAAAAUGAGUUGAUUUGGAAAACAUUUUCCAAACAUUUUAGGUCAACCAAACAUGGGAAAUUUGGAAAAUAUUUUCCAUAAAAUGUUUUACUCCAUACCAAACACACCCUUAAACUUGUAUAAAAUUUAACAAGUAAACAUAUGAGUCAUAUGUGACAUAAUAUACGCAGGAUAUCAUAUAGAAUGCAAAUUGUCAUGUAGGAUGUCAUGUAGGACGUGGGUAUCUAUUUGUUCAACUUUAUACAAGUUUAAGGGUGUGUUUGGUACCGAUUUUCUUUGAUGAGAUAAAUUAUCACAUUUAUUGAAUGUCACUCUGCCAAUGGACAUCUCACCUUGUUCUGGAUAUUAACCUUCAUAAUAAUACUAUAUUUCUACACAUUCAUCUUAAUAUCCUAGUGAGUUUUUGACAUAUCAACACUCCGCUCUAUACAAAAAUGUCAUUUCUUUCCAAAACAAAAAGCCUCUAAAAGAGCAUAUGCAACAACACUUUGCAGAACCUAUCAAGCCAAAUAACCCUCUCAAAAUAUGCAUCUCUUCAACUUCUUUUCCCUUUUCCUUUUCCUUUUUGUAUCUUCCCUCUUUUUGUUGAUUAAAUGGAAGAAUUCCAAUAGAAAAGUCAAAAGAUUGCCUCCAGGUCCAUGGAAAUUACCUUUGAUUGGAAGCAUGUUUCAUUUGUUAGGUGGACUUCCACAUCAAGUCCUUAGAGAUUUAGCCAAAAAUAUGGACCAAUUAUGCACCUUCAACUAGGUGAAGUUUCUCUAGUUGUUGUUACUUCUCCUGACAUGGCCAAACAAGUAUUAAAAACUCAUGACCUCGCUUUUGCAUCUAGGCCCAAGCUUCUAGCUGCCGAGAUUCUCUUUUAUAACGGAACUGAUAUUGUCUUUUCCCCCUAUGGAGAUUACUGGAGACAAAUGCGUAAAAUAUGUCUAUUGGAAUUGCUUAGCGCAAAAAAUGUUAAAUCAUUCAACUCUAUUAGACAAGAUGAAGUUCUUUGUAUGAUUGAUUUUUUUCGAUCAACUACUGGUGAGACAGUUAAUGCAACAAAAAAGUUUUACCAAUUCUCAAGCUCUAUGACCUGUAGAGCAACCUUUGGGAAAGUAUUAAAAGAGCAAGACGAACUUAUACUACUCGUUAAAAAAGCAUCACAUUUAAUGGAAGGAUUUGAUGUGGCUGAUAUAUUUCCAUCACUAAAAUUUCUUCAAGUGUUAUGUGGAAUGAAGGGUAAAAUUAUGGAUGC
rnacentral:lncRNA from 1 species